UGCAAGCAUUCGGUGGGAAAAAAAAAGAAGAAGAAGAGAGAAAUCCCCAAAGCAACCAAGCUUAGUGAUAGGAGAGGAAGAAGAGUAGGAGAUUAAGGAAGCCAAAAUUCUCAACCAUUUUGUCACCUUAUUACUAGAUUAUGUUGAAGAAGGGACUGAGGCUGAAAUUGGAGCUGCUGCCAAUAUCGAACCUUGGCUGACUUAGAGUCAAGAUUUUGUCAGAAUAAAAUCCUGUUAUCCCUUGUAUUAGGAUUAAACUAUGUUGUGACAUUGUGUGUGAACUCGUAGUUUUAUUUUGUCGUUGGACUUUGGCUUUGUAAGAACUUAAAAGUUCCUAACUAGUAGUUAAAAUUUUAUCUAGCAAGUUAUUGUUA